AACAGUAAGAGUUUAUGUGCGGUGAGAGCUGGAAUCUGCAUGUGAACUCCUACUGCUCC
rnacentral:pre_miRNA from 1 species